rnacentral:rRNA from 1 species
AUACGUAGGGAGCGAGCGUUGUCCGGAAUUACUGGGCGUAAAGGGCGCGUAGGCGGCGCUUCAAGUCGUCUGUCAAAUGGGAGGGCUUAACCCUUUUUCGCAGACGAAACUGGAGAGCUUGAGAAGUAGAGAGGCAAACAGAAUUCCUGGUGUAGCGGUGAAAUGCGUAGAUAUCAGGAAGAAUACCAGUGGCGAAGGCGGUUUGCUGGCUGCAUACUGACGCUGAAGCGCGAAAGCCAGGGGAGCAAACGGGAUUAGAUACCCCGGUAGUCCUGGCAGUAAACGAUGUAUGCUGGGUGUGAGACUAGCGAUAGUUUCGUGCCGAAGUUAACGCGAUAAGCAUACCGCCUGGGGAGUACGGUCGCAAGAUUGAAACUCAAAGGAAUUGACGGGG